rnacentral:rRNA from 1 species
CCCUUAGAUGAUUUGGGCUGCACGCGCGCUACACUGACCCUAACAAUGAGCAACUGUCUGGCCUGAGAUGGCUGGGUAGCCUUUUCAACCCAUGUCAUGAUUGGGCUAGAUUUUUGUAAGUCUUGAUCUCUAACGAGGAAUCCCUAGUAUGCGUGAAUCAUCAAUCCAUGCAGAUUAUGUCCCUGCCCUUUGUACACACCGCCCGUCGCUCCUACCGAUUGAAUGAUCCGAUGAAUAUCAUGGAUUGAGGAUGCAAGUAGGUUCGCCUAUCUUCAUCUUCGAGAAGUGAAGUAAAUCUUAUCAUUUAGAGGAAGGAGAAGUCGUAACA